rnacentral:rRNA from 1 species
GAGACCUGUAUCCAUAAUUGCCAGCAGCAGAAUUUCUAGACUGGGCACAUUAUGGGGACUGCCCUGGAAACAGGGAGGAAGGUGCAGGCUACGGUAGGUCUGUAUGCUCCGAAUCUUCUGGGCAACACGCGCGCAACAAUGGUAGAGACAAUGGGAUGCAACUCCGAAAGGAGAAGCUAAUCCUCGAAACUCUAUCCUAGUUCAGAUUGAGGAUUGUAACUCAUCCUCAUGACGUUGGAAUCCCUAGUAAUCAGGUUUUAGCACAGCCCGGUGACUAU